AUUGAACGCUGGCGGCAGGCCUAACACAUGCAAGUCGAACGAGUUGCGAACGGGUGAGUAACGCGUGGUAACCUACCUAUUAGAGGGGGAUAACUAUUGGAAACGAUAGCUAAUACCGCAUACUAGUAGUUGGACCUGCGUUGUAUUAGCUAGUAGGUAGGGUAAUGGCCUACCUAGGCAACGAUACAUAGCCGACCUGAGAGGGUGAUCGGCCACACUGGGACUGAGACACGGCCCAGACUCCUACGGGAGGCAGCAGUGGGGAAUAUUGCACAAUGGGCGCAAGCCUGAUGCAGCCAUGCCGCGUGUAUGAAGAAGGCCUUCGGGUUGUAAAGUACUUUCAGCGAGGAGGCGUUACUCGCAGAAGAAGCACCGGCUAACUCCGUGCCAGCAGCCGCGGUAAUAC
rnacentral:rRNA from 1 species